UUUGGUUAAGUUACUAAGAGCAUACGGUGGAUGCCUUGGCACAAGAAGGCGAUGAAGGACGCGACUACCAGCGAUAUGCCACGGUUAGGUGGAAAUAACCGAAGACCCGUGGAUUUCCGAAUGGGACAACCCAAUCUCGGUAAUGCGAGAUUAUCCAUAUCUGAAUACAUAGGAUAUGAGAAGCCAACCCAGAGAACUGAAACAUCUAAGUACCUGGAGGAAGAGAAAAUAACUAUGAUUUCCUGAGUAGUGGCGAGCGAAAGGGAAACAGCCUAAACCUUAUAACAUGUUAAAGGUCGUAACCGUUGUGUUAAAGGUGUUGUGGGGUGUUUUUUGACUGAAUUACGAAUAAGUCGAGAAGUAAAAAACUAUAUUAUUAGUUGAAUGUUCUGGAAAGUUCAACCAUAGAAGGUGAUAGUCCUUUAAGCGAAAAUAAUAUAGCUUCUUGAAAAACAAUCCCGAGUACCGCGAAUUAAGUGGAACUUUGUGGGAAUCUGCCAGAACCAUCUGGUAAGGCUAAAUACUAUCUUGUGACCGAUAGUGAAAAAGUACCGUGAGGGAAAGGUGAAAAGUACUCCUAUUAGGAGAGUGAAAUAGUACCUGAACCCGUAUGCUUACAAGCAGUUGGAGUUCCGCUUUGGCGGAAUGACAGCGUGCCUUUUGGAUAAUGAGCCAACGAGUUGCUCGUAUGUUGCAAGGUUAACCCGCUUAGCGGGGCAGCCGUAGCGAAAGCGAGUCUGAAACGGGCGUUUCAGUAACAUGCGGCAGACGCGAAACCGAGUGAUCUACCCUUGUCCAGGAUGAAGUGACGGUAAAACGUCAUGGAGGUCCGAACCAUUGCGGGUUGAAAACCGCUUGGAUGAGGUGAGGGUAGGGGUGAAAGGCCAAUCAAACUCGGAGAUAGCUCGUAUUCCUCGAAAUAGCUUUUGGGCUAGCCUCGAGUAAUAGUGUGCAGGAGGUAGAGCACUGAUUGGGCUAGGGCCCUCACAAGGGUACCAAACCCAGACAAACUCCGAAUUCCUGACACAUGUUUCUCGGGAGUCAGGCAGUGGGGGAUAAGCUCCAUUGCCAAGAGGGAAACAACCCAGACCAUCGACUAAGGCCCCUAAAUAGUAGUUAACAGAGAAAGGAUGUUAAGUUGCUCAGACAACUAGGAUGUUGGCUUAGAAGCAGCCACACAUUUAAAGAGUGCGUAAUAGCUCACUAGUCAAGCGACUUAGCGUCGACAAUUUGCGGGACUUAAACUACUUGCCGAAGUUGUGGGUUAUUCUGAUUUAUCAGAAUAGCGGUAGAGGAACAUUCUAUUUGCGCUGAAGGCGAACUGCGAGGUUCUCUGGAGCGGAUAGAAAAGAAAAUGUUGGCAUAAGUAACGAUAACAAAGAUGAAAAAUCUUUGCGCCGAAAGUCUAAGGUUUCCUGAGCAAUGUUAAUCAUCUCAGGGUUAGUCGGGACCUAAGCCGAGGCCGAGAGGCGUAGGCGAUGGUAAACAGGUUAAUAUUCCUGUACCCGGUAAUAUUCGUUCGACUGUAAGGAGGGACGCAGAAGUGAAGGUCAGCCACCUGUUGGAUUAGGUGGUCUAAGUGUGUAGGCUGAAAGAGUAGGUAAAUCCGCUCUUUCUUAAGGCUGAGGCACGAACGGGAUCCCUUUGGGAAUAAACUGAUCGUAACCAUGCUGCCAAGAAAAGCUUCGUACAGGAGAGUAUUAUCGGUCCGUACCGCAAACCGACACAGGUAGACGGGAUGAGUAUUCUAAGGCGCUCGAGUGAGUCGUGGUUAAGGAACUCGGCAAAUUAACUCCGUAACUUCGGGAGAAGGAGUGCCUCAAGUAAGUGAAAUUAAUACUGAUGGAGCUGAAAGAGGCCGCAGUGAAAAGGCCCAGGCGACUGUUUAACAAAAACACAUGUCUCUGCGAAGUCAAUUAAGACGAUGUAUAGGGACUGACACCUGCCCGGUGCUGGAAGGUUAAGGGGAGUGGUUAUCCGUCAUCUGACGGAGAAGCUGUGAACCGAAGCCCCAGUAAACGGCGGCCGUAACUAUAACGGUCCUAAGGUAGCGAAAUUCCUUGUCGGGUAAGUUCCGACCUGCACGAAUGGUGCAACGAUCUGGGCACUGUCUCAACCACGAGCUCGGUGAAAUUGUGGUACCGGUGAAGACGCCGGUUACCCGCAUAUGGACGGAAAGACCCCGUGAACCUUUACUGCACCCUAACAUUGGGUUCGGAUAGGUCAUGUGUAGGAUAGGUGGGAGACUUUGAAACCGGGGCGCUAGCUUCGGUGGAGUCAAUGGUGAAAUACCACCCUUGGUUUAUUUGAAUUCUAACCGCGGUCCAUGAAUCUGGAUCCGGAACAGUGUUAGGCGGGUAGUUUGACUGGGGCGGUCGCCUCCUAAAAUGUAACGGAGGCUCUCAAAGGUUCCCUCAGCAUGGUUGGUAAUCAUGCGUCGAGUGUAAACGCAUAAGGGAGCUUGACUGCGAGACAUACAGGUCGAGCAGGUGCGAAAGCAGGAGUUAGUGAUCCGGCGGUAGCGAGUGGAAGUGCCGUCGCUCAAAGGAUAAAAGGUACUCCGGGGAUAACAGGCUGAUCUUGCCCAAGAGUUCAUAUCGACGGCAAGGUUUGGCACCUCGAUGUCGGCUCAUCGCAUCCUGGGGCUGAAGAAGGUCCCAAGGGUUUGGCUGUUCGCCAAUUAAAGCGGUACGUGAGCUGGGUUCAGAACGUCGUGAGACAGUUCGGUCCCUAUCCUAUGCGGGCGCAGGAUACUUGAGAAGAGUCGCUUCUAGUACGAGAGGACCGAAGUGAACGAACCUCUAGUGCACCAAUUGUCACGCCAGUGGCAUCGUUGGGUAGCUACGUUCGGAAAUGAUAAGCGCUGAAAGCAUCUAAGUGCGAAGCAUACUUCGAGAUUAAGUAUCCCUUUAUUACUUCGGUAAUAGCUAAAGACUCCUUGGAGAUGACAAGGUUGAUAGGCUGUAGGUGUAAGUGCGGCAACGUAUUUAGCUGAGCAGUACUAAUAAGUCGUGAGGCUUAACCAAUAUUUUUAUU
rnacentral:rRNA from 1 species